GACGAAUGCUGGCGGCGUGCUUAACACAUGCAAGUCGAACGGUGAAGGAGAGCUUGCUCUCUGGAUCAGUGGCGAACGGGUGAGUAACACGUGGGUAACCUGCCCCUCACUUCGGAAUAACCAUCAGAAAGGAUGGCUAAUACCGGAUAUGGAAACCUGGAGGCAUCUCCGGGUUUGGAAAGUCUUUCGGUGAGGGAUGGACCCGCGGCCUAUCAGCUUGUUGGUGAGGUAAUGGCUCACCAAGGCGAAGACGGGUAGCCGGCCUGAGAGGGCGACCGGCCACACUGGGACUGAGAUACGGCCCAGACUCCUACGGGAGGCAGCAGUGGGGAAUAUUGCACAAUGGGCGAAAGCCUGAUGCAGCGACGCCGCGUGAGGGAUGAAGGCCUUCGGGUUGUAAACCUCUUUCAGUAGGGACGAAGCGCAAGUGACGGUACCUACAGAAGAAGCACCGGCUAACUACGUGCCAGCCGCCGCGGUAAUAC
rnacentral:rRNA from 1 species